UACGAAGGGUGCAAGCGUUACUCGGAAUUACUGGGCGUAAAGCGUGCGUAGGUGGUGGUUUAAGUCUGCUGUGAAAGCCCUGGGCUCAACCUGGGAAUUGCAGUGGAUACUGGAUCACUAGAGUGUGGUAGAGGGAUGCGGAAUUUCUGGUGUAGCAGUGAAAUGCGUAGAGAUCAGAAGGAACAUCCGUGGCGAAGGCGGCAUCCUGGGCCAACACUGACACUGAGGCACGAAAGCGUGGGGAGCAAACAGGAUUAGAUACCCUGUAGUCC
rnacentral:rRNA from 1 species